rnacentral:rRNA from 1 species
AAUAUUGCACAAUGGGCGCAAGCCUGAUGCAGCCAUGCCGCGUGUGUGAAGAAGGCCUUCGGGUUGUAAAGCACUUUCAGUCGUGAGGAAGGUAGUGUAGUUAAUAGCUGCAUUAUUUGACGUUUAGCGACAGAAGAAGCACCGGCUAACUCCGUGCCAGCAGCCGCGGUAAUACGGAGGGUGCGAGCGUUAAUCGGAAUUACUGGGCGUAAAGCGCAUGCAGGUGGUUUGUUAAGUCAGAUGUGAAAGCCCGGGGCUCAACCUCGGAAUAGCAUUUGAAACUGGCAGACUAGAGUACUGUAGAGGGGGUAGAAUUUCAGGUGUAGCGGUGAAAUGCGUAGAGAUCUGAAGGAAUACCGGUGGCGAAGGCGGCCCCCCUGGACAGAUACUGACACUCAGAUGCGAAAGCGUGGGGAGCAAACAGGAUUAGAUACCCUGGUAG